rnacentral:rRNA from 1 species
AUUGAACGCUGGCGGCAGGCCUAACACAUGCAAGUCGAACGAGUUGCGGACGGGUGAGUAAUGUCUGUGAAAUUGCCUUAUGGCGGGGGAUAACUCCUUGAAACGGUAGCUAAUCCCUCAUACCUUCAGCUGUUCCCCUACGGGCUUGGCUUGUUGGUGGGGUAACGGCUCACCAGUGCGACGAUCCCUAUCUGGUCUCAGAGGAUGACCAGCCACACUGGAACGGAGACACGGUCCAGACUCCUACGGGAGGAAGCAGUGGGGAAUAUUGCACAAUGGGCGAAAGCCUGAUGCAGCCAGGCCGCGUGUAUGAAGAAGGCCUUCGGGUUGUAAAGUACUUUCAGCGGGGAGGCGUUACCCGCAGAAGAAGCACCGGCUAACUCCGUGCCAGCCGCCGCGGUAAUAC